UAGGCCUCGGGAGGCGGAGGGUGCCGGCGGUGCUUGGCAUGAUUCUGCUGUCUCAAGGAGAGUAGACUGAAGCUGGUUCAGGAGGGCUCAUGGAGCAAAUCCACAGCACUCAGACUAUUUAUGAACUACACACAGAAGAAAGGGAUAAACCCAGGGAGGGAACUGGUGCUACAAAUGGUGCUGGGGGUCCCCUGACAAUGGGAUUUCUGCCUCCCCACCGUUCUGCAAGCAGCACAUGCUGAGGGUGAAGCAUUGGAAGGUCCCUGUGCCAGAAAACUGAAGGUCACCUCUGGUUGGACUGGAGCAGGAUCACCUGUGACUUGAGGAAAUAUGGGAUUAUCCCCUCUUGGACCAGGUGGGACACCCCGUGGUUUGGAGCAGGGAACACCCUGUGGCCAGGGAGAGCUUUCAGCACAACAUUUAUCUGCAGUUGAUGGAUCACUGAGCGCUCACAGCUGAGGGAAAGGAACAUCAAAGAUCUCCAGUGAAUUAUUUUAAUGGUUGGAUCUUUACCAGGGCGAGCUUCGCCUUUUGUGUGUUUUGUUUGCCCCAGAACCCGGCUCCUGGAUGUUCUGAAGGCAGAGCUGAGCUCUGGCCCAGGCUCUGCUUUGAUUUCCAGUUCUCAGAGCUGAGCUGUGAGUGAACCUGACAGCUCUGUGGCCGAAGGGGAGUCCUGAUUCCGAGGUUCCACAACAAAAGGGCCUUAAUGAGGUCAGAGUGGAAACAGAAUGUAAAUCAGGACAUUUCUUAUUCAAUCCCGUUGUUACUGAUGAGCCUCCACGACCCCAGUUCAGAGCAGGGCGGGGGGAGGCAAAGACAGAAGCAAGAACAGGCAUAAACUGGGAAUAAUAUAGUAAUUAUUCCACAUAUGGAAAUGUGGGGGGAAUGCACAGGCAUCACCUCUGCCCUCUGGCCAGCACACCUGAGGCUGGGCAGCUGCUUUGGUCUUCAGGGGAGGUAUUUUUAAGGGAAUGAGUGUGAACCUCAAUCCCUCUUUAAAUGGUGAAGUCCAAGGCAAUGACAUCUGCCUGAGACUCUUUGCUGUGCAUCCCAUAAAUGCUGGUGCAGUUCAGGAUGCAGCAGGUCCAGGACCUGCUCAGUGUCCUGUUCUCACAUCCCUUUACAACACAACUCGAUGCACAAAAUGUGGGGGCACAACAAUAAGAUCUGAUUUUCAUGGUAAGAAGAGUAAAUCCAGAGAGGAAAAUUGGUAAGUUCAAGUUCGGUGGUGUCUGUAAGGACCUGAAGGUGAAUGGUGGGGGGGGGGUGUGCCAUGAAAUAUUAAAAUUAUCCCUUGCAGAGAACCUACACAGUGCUUGCUAAAGGCCUGAAGUCCCAGAGCUGUUGUCUAGAAAGGUUUGUCCCAUCUUUUCAGACUGUGGGAGCUGUUUCCACCUGUGAAUAUUUGAAGGAGGAAGAGCUGGAAGGUAACAGAAGUUAGUCCAGGCUCUGAUAUGGUCAGUGAUCACACACCUGAGCUGUGGCUUUUAUUCAUCUUUUUUUUUUUUGGUACAGAACUCGAGCAUGAUUUAAAAAAAAAAAUCCCUAAGA